GGGCUAGUGGCGCAAUGGAUAACGUGUCUGACUACGGAUCAGAAGAUUCUAGGUUCGCUGGCUGGCUCG
rfam:Salmo salar isolate Sally breed double haploid chromosome ssa10, whole genome shotgun sequence.